rnacentral:misc_RNA from 1 species
UCUCAACGCCUUUGCGCGAGCUGGCUCGUAGCGGCGGAAGCAACAGCGGCGCCGCCACUCGUUAGCUUGUCGCUGUGUGGCGUUUUGAGCUUUAUUCCGUUGGCGUGUGAUAAAAAUACGUUAGUAAUCAAUUGCAAGCCCAACUGCCAAGACACGGAAUUAAGACGCGCCUUUGCCGUUGUCGCCGUCGCUUUAGAGUCGCUUUUAAAAAUUGUUGAUAUAGUCGCUUACAUACAUAUAUGUAUACUCUUAAUCAUAGAAAAUCAUAGAAAAUCAACGAACAUAUAGAAAAAAGCAUCACUAUUUUUUCGCGUUUAUGAAAAUUUAAAAUCUUUGAAGUGUGUUCAAAAAAAAUAAAAAAAUACAACAAAAACAAUAAGACUAAACAUUUUUUAUGCAACAAUAAACAAACGAAACAAUUUACCGCACGUGCACCUGUUGCUGAGAGGAUAUUUCGCUGUUAUUUUUGAAUUUUUUGGAAUCGUUGCCAAAUUUCGCUGUAGAACGAUCGAUCGACCAACCCAGCCAACCAAGGCGUUUAACGCUAAAAUUUAUCUAUUUUAGUCAACGCAAACGCUUCGUAGUGCACGUACAGUGGCCCUGGACACGCUGACUAACUGAUUGCAGUCAACCAUCAACGCCAAUAAAGCACAAAUUUACCCACACACACACACCCACACACACACAUUAUGAGGCAACAACAGUUAUUUGCAAUCGCCGCCUGCCUAUGCAGCGCCGCAGUAGUGCUCGUAUCCGCUGUGCCCGUACCUGCCGACAACCAGGAAUUAGAUGUGCUACAGAUUCCACUUUCAGAUGACAAGGAACUAGACGUUUUGACGCUUGGUGCCAAAGGUCAGGAACAAAUAAUCGCCGAUCGAAAUAAACGAACGAUUGGUCUUCUGCGCGAACUGUUUCCCGACAUUACAAAGCAAAUCGACGACAUAGUUAAUCGCAUUAUAGGCCAGGUAAUACGUGUUGCCGGUCCCAGUCUGCUACCGGCGCUGCUCGGCAACAAUCGACCCACCACCGAGCGUUCAGACUUCGAUGCUGAUUUCGACGACGAUGAUGACUCAAGUAACGAUGUUAAUUCUCAGGAGAAAAAUAGUGUUUUCAGCAAAAGUGAUGCUGCUACAUCGGCGCCCAGCGACAGCAGUGAUACUGGUGGCACGCGUGUAAGCAUCGUCUUGCCAACAUUCGCGCCAGCGAAUGAAUCAUCUUCGGAUGCAGCAAAUAAAGUGAGUUUCGCGCAAGGCGCUGAAGAAGCAACAACUAGUGUUGCAACGUCAACAUCAACAUCAACAUCAACAACAGCAGCAACAGCGACAACGACAACGACAACUAGCACAAUAUCGACGCCUGUCAUCACAAGCACAACGGUGACAACAAUCAGUCCUCAGCCAAUAACUCCAUUGACAAUUGCCACUACCAGUCGGCCCAUUGAAAUAUUCACCACUCCAAAUCCAACUACCGUCGCGGCUAGUCCACCACAAACUACUACCAACGUUCCCACGCCUGCACCAACAACCCUUUCACCAGUCACAUUGCCCACCACUACCAUUAAUUCCAUAUUAGUUAUACCUAGAAAUAAAGGUAAAAGUUCGAGUAGCACUAAUGCCAAUAGGGGCAACACAAAUAUACCUAAUUUAGCCACAACACCGCCCACAAUUGAAGCUGACACAGAAAGUUCCUACACCACCACUACCACCACAUCCACACCCUCAACACCCUCGACUAUCCCAAUUACCACCACUGCCACAUCAAUACAAUAUCCCACCAAACCAACCACAACAAAAGAAAUUGUUGCCGGCGAUACACUACCAACACCAACAAUACCAGCCACCUAUUUGGGCACAUUUGAUGGCGCAGUAGACGGCAAGCCAAAUAUUAUACGAGUACGAAAUCCAUUCACACUACCAACUCCAACUCCAACUCCACCUCCACAAUCCUUACCACCAACACCAACACAACAACAACCACUAGAAACUCAAACCACCACCACCACGUUGCCGUUUGCUGUUGAUGUUGAUCGAUCACAGCUUGUUGCUUUAGUCGACAAUAUAAAUCGUUUAUUGAAUUCACCAAAUCUUCUUAUUACUAAUAGAAAUAAUGCAAAUACAACACCAGCAACAACAACAAAUACAAUUACAACAACGCCUUCAAUAGCAGUUUCAACACAAUCGACGGAGUUAAAUACAACUAUAAAAAUUACAAAACUCCUACCUGUGGCUAAUUAAUUGGGAAAAAAUUGUCAAAAAAAAAAAAUUAUGUACAUAUAGAAACAGUAAAUAAAUAGCAACAAUUAUUAAGUACUACAAGCAUUACAACCGAAACAGCAACAAGCGAUAACAACUAUUUAGUACAAUGCCAGCAAAAACAAAAAACAAAAAAAAUAAAGCGAACUGGAAAUUUCCAUUAAGUAAUCGGCUAAGAGCAUUUAUGUAUGUAGUAACAACAAUAACUUUUCAUUCACACAAAAACAGCAACAGCAGCAACAACGAGUAUAUAAAAAGCCACCAAGUAAUCAGCAGCAAAACGUACAAUAUGUAGAAACAUAUGUAUUUAUGUAUACCAACAUUCGAAUGCAUUAGCUUGUACGAUCAGACCGCAAUUCACCACGUUCGCCAUUUACUACAACUCACAAAAUAUCGUUUUAAAAUAAUACAUAUGUAUGUAUGUACUUAUACAAGUAUGUAUUACCUUAUCUACAUAUAAAUACGUUCGUUGUGCGUGGUUUUUCACAUAUUCACCACAUCUGCAACAAAGCACCAACAACAGCAACUCAUUUUGUGCAUUAAUGAGUACUUAAUUUGGUCGUUUUUCACUAUGUUGCUAUUGUCGCAUCUCAUGGUGUAUUUCCGUUUCCAUUGUUAUCGCAGACGUUCGUUAUCUACAUUGUGUUUACCGAGUAAUCACUUAAUUCACUCCUUUGUACUAUGUCGAUUUUAACAAUUUUCAUCUGUUGUUUAUUAUUGUUGGUUAUUGAACUCAGUCUCUCCACUCCCCGAGGCCCCUGUGCUCACUCUCAUCGUAGUGUUUUUGUGAAUCUUUCUAAAUAUUUAUUUUUUGUGCGCAUAUUCAGAGUACUGUCAUCUGCAAAUCGAUGAUCAAGUGAAUCGUAUAAUUUCGAAAUUAUUGCGCACUUUGGGGCCCACUCUGCUGCGUACCGCCGUACAAGGCAAU